ACUGACCAACUUUGGUGUUGAUCUGAAUAAAUCUCUAUGAGGAGUUCGUUAAAGUACAACCCCUGAAAAUGGCAAAAACUACACAAAUUUUGCAGAGAAAAU